rnacentral:rRNA from 1 species
UACGGAGGGUGCGAGCGUUAAUCGGAAUUACUGGGCGUAAAGCGUACGUAGGCGGUUUGUUAAGUCGGAUGUGAAAUCCCUGGGCUCAACCUGGGACCUGCAUUCGAUACUGGCAGACUUGAAUACGGUAGAGGGGGGUGGAAUUCCAGGUGUAGCGGUGAAAUGCGUAGAGAUCUGGAGGAACACCAGUGGCGAAGGCGGCCCCCUGGACCGAUAUUGACGCUGAGGUACGAAAGCGUGGGGAGCAAACAGG